rnacentral:rRNA from 1 species
UACGUAGGGGGCAAGCGUUGUCCGGAUUCAUUGGGCGUAAAGAGCGUGUAGGCGGCCAGGUAGGUCGGUUGUGAAAACUGGAGGCUCAACCUUCAGAGGUCGACCGAAACCAUCUGGCUAGAGUCCGGGAGAGGAGAGUGGAAUUCCCGGUGUAGCGGUGAAAUGCGCAGAUAUCGGGAGGAACACCUAUGGCGAAGGCAGCUCGCUGGGACGUUACUGACGCUGAGACGCGAAAGCGUGGGGAGCGAACAGG